rnacentral:misc_RNA from 1 species
AGCAGCCGCGGUAAUUCCAGCUCCAAUAGCGUAUAUUAAAGUUGUUGCAGUUAAAAAGCUCGUAGUUGAAUUUCGGAGUUCUACCGUCGGUCGGGCUACCAAGUCUGUACUGGUGUGUAGAAUUCCUACCUUCUGGGGAACUAUCAUGUUAUUAAUUUAGCGUGGUGGGAAACCAGGACCUUUACCUUGAAAAAUUAGAGUGUUCAAAGCAGGCAUAUGUCUGAAUACAUUAGCAUGGAAUAAUAGAAUAGGACGGUGGUCCUGUUUUGUUGGUUUCUGAAUCACCGUAAUGAUUAAUAGGGAUAGUUGGGGGCAUUAGUAUUCAAUUGUCAGAGGUGAAAUUCUUGGAUUUAUUGAAGACUAACUUCUGCGAAAGCAUUUGCCAAGGAUGUUUUCAUUAAUCAAGAACGAAAGUUAGGGGAUCGAAGACGAUCAGAUACCGUCGUAGUCUUAACCAUAAACUAUGCCGACUAGGGAUCGGACGAUGUUAAAUUUUAUGUACUCGUUCGGCGUCCGUUAC